GGCCGAAUCGCAAUUUUAGAUCUAUCAUUAUCAUUUAUGCUUUGCGAUAAACCUCCACAUUAUAUAUGCACUUUAUAAUGUAAAAACAAUUGAUUGAUUGUGUUGAAUACCACUUUAGCACUUUUGCUCAAUCUAGGCUAUUCAUUUUUAUUGGUGGACGCGGGUAUAAAGGAACUAUGUAUUGAGAGGUUACAAACUAUAAGGUUAAGGGAGGGACGGGGAAGGGGUGAGCGAGAAUGAUAUUUCAGAAAAAGACAGGACGAGUUUUGGGUAAAAAAAGUCAGUAUGAGCAACUUUGCCAAACAAAAAGGCUGAAUAACAAUUCAUGUAAAAAAAAGUCAGGAUAACUUAUAAAAAAAGGACCGAAUAGAGUUAACAAUUAAAAUGAAGAACUGAUUACAAAAAGAAAAAUGCAACACAUACUUUUUCUUGGGUACUUGAUGUCGCAGCUGCUUAACCUUACCACAAGUGGAUCGCAAGUGCAAAUAUUAUUAGUCGCUCAUUCUAGAGAGGGGAAUGGUAUCCCCCAUUGGUAAUGCUGGUUUGUCAUUUUGAAUAUUCCAAAUAAUUUAGAAAAGUGGGUAGAACAUUUUACCAAAAAAGUUAUAAAGAGAAAGAAAUUACUCCAGACGGGAUGAAAAGGAAUUUUCUGUCCUUCCAAUGCAGGAUAUCAUUCGGAACAAAAUAAAACGUUAGCAAGCCAGUCAUAAGGCUGGCUGGUGAAAAUGAAUAUUCAGAAUUAAAAAAAUCAGCCGUCAAAAAUAC
rnacentral:lncRNA from 1 species